rnacentral:misc_RNA from 1 species
AUUCCUCAACCUUCUGCUAUUUCUUGAUAGCAGAAGGCUUGGACUUUGGAGGUUCUUGCUGGCCUCUCCUCCUAGAAGCCAGCUCCCCUUAAAUGGAUUAGCAGGGUCUGCCUUUGGUCGAUCCUCGACGUGAUAAACCAUUUCUACGUCUUGGACUUGGCUCUUUUGAGAUCUGCUUCUAAUCGUCCGAGUCGCCCUUUCUUAAUGGGGUGCACUUUUGGACCCACGAACC